CUCAGAUAAUACUCUGUAUCUAUUUAGGUUUGUUUGAUAUGGUUCAUGGUGGAGUCUUGGCUGAGUUAUUUAUAAGAAUACAGUUCAGUCGGUAGCCCAAAAAAGGAAAAAUUGAGAGUGAUCUCUUCACUAUUUCCUUUUAUUUCCAACAUUUAUCUCUUAUAAAGUUUUAAAAAAAACAUUUAUCUCUUAUUUUUAUUUUUUAUUAUUAAAAUUAAAUAUUUUAAGUUACUCAAUUUACUAUUUCCUUUUUAUAUCAACAAUCAUGUUUAAUAUCUUUUUUUUACCAAAUCUUUUUUUUCUUGUUCCUUAUAUAAUUUUCUUUUUGUUUUAAAGAUCAUGUUUAAUUUCCUUUUUUAGAAUUUAAUAUUUUGAGUUGAAUAUCCUAUACAAUAUCCUAUAUUUCAACUCUAUAAAUAUAAAAAUUGUUUAGUAAAUAUACAACUUCCUAAACAAUCAUCACCUUCAGUUUUUGAGAAAAAAAUUCAAAAAUAUGAAAAUCUUGCUUUAUUGCAUAGGUGCAUCAUGUAUUAGCAUAUGAUGAUUUUUUAAAGAGGUUUGGAUUUUUUUUUUCUGUUUCUCUAGAGAAUAGAAAUUUUAUAGUGCGUUAAUCCACUGAUUUAAGCAGCAUAAAGCAUUUUAUAAAAUUAAUUUUAAAAUAUUAGAGUGAUGACUAUGUAAUAUGAAAGAUAGUUUAGCAUAAAUAAUGUAUAAUGUGGUUUAAAUUUUUUAAACAACACUAAAGAGUGUAAACUUCAAUAUAUAGAGCACUUACCGAAAAGGUAAAUUUCGUAGGGAUUAACCUUUAGAUUUUUGAUUAAAAAAAACAAACAAAAAUAUGAAAAUAUUUCUUUAUGGAAUAGUUGCAUCCUUAAGUGACAUAGAUGAUGGUCAAAAAAGUUUGAAAUCUUUAUUGUGUCUAUUUUUCUAGAAAAUAGAGAAUUUUUUGUUAGUCCAGUGAUUUAGACAAUAUAUGAAUUAUAAUGUGGUUGAGAAAAUUUAAACAACACUGAACAAAGAAAACUUCAUUAUAUAGAGCAUUUACCAGAAAUAAAAUUUUGUAUGGGUGUUAACCUUCAGAUUUUGAGAAAAUUUUAAAAAUAAUGAUAAUCUUGUUUUAUUGCAUAAUUGCAUCCUGCACUGACAUAGGAUGAUGGUAAAAAAUGUUUGUGUCCGUUUUUCUAGAAAAUAGAUAUUUAUAGUGGUUAGUCCAAUUAUUUAAGCACUAUGUAGAUUUUUAUAAAAUUAAUUUAUAAAAAAAUUAGAGCGAUGUUUAUGUACCAUGAAAGAGAUUUAGCAUACAUUAUUAAAAAUGUAGAAUGUGGCUACAAAAUUUUAAGCAACACUAAAGAGUGUAAACAUCAAUAUAAAGGGCACUUACCGAAAACUUAAUUUCAUAGGUUAACCUUCAGAUUUUGAGAAAAAUAAAAAAAAUAUGAAAAUCUUGGUUUAUUGCAUAGUUGCAUCAUUCACUCACAUAUGAUAAUUUUCAAAGAGGUUUGAAUUUUUUUUUUGUGUACGUUUCUCUAGAGAAUAGAGAUUUCAUAGUGAUUACUCCACUAAUUUAGGUAAUAUAUGAAGUUUUAUUAAAUAAACAGUUAAAAAUUAGAAAAAUAGUAAUGCACCAUGAAAGAGAGUUUAUAAUACAUUAAUACAAAUGUAUGAUGUGGUUAUAAAUUUUUAAACACCACUAAAGAGUGUAAUUGUUAAAAUAUUAGAAAGAUGUCUAUGUACCAUAAAAGAGAAUUUAUCAUAUAUUAUUACAAAUUUAGAAUGUAGUUAGAAAUUUGAAAGCAACACUAAGGGGUGUAAACUUUAAUAUAUACAUCAUUUACCGAAAAAACUCAAUUUCAUAGGGGUUAACCUUCAGAUUUUGAAGAAUAAUCAAAAAUAUGAAAAUGUUGCUUUAUUUCAUAGUUUCAUCUUGCAAUAACAUAGGAUGAUAGUGAAAGAUUUUUGGAAUCUUUUUGUGUCUGUUUCUUUAGAUAAUAGAGAUUUCAUAGCGUUAGUCCACUAAUUUAGGCAAUAUACGAAGUUUUAUUAAAUUAAUUGUUUAAAAAUUAGAGAGAAUACACAUGUACCAUGAAAUAGUGUUUAGAAUAUAUUAAGACAAAUGUAUAAUGUGGUUAGAAAAUUUUAAAUAAAAAUAAAGAGUGUAAACUUUAUUUAUCGAGAAUUUACCGACAAUCUAUUUUCGUAGGGGUGUUAACCUUUAGAUUUUGAGAAAAAUAAAAAAAUAUGACAAACUUGUUUUAUUGCAUAGUUGAAUCAUGCGCUGACAAAUGAUGAUGGUCAAAAAGGUUUGAAAUAUUUUUGUGUCCGUUUAUCUGGAGAAUAGAUAUUCAAUAAUGGUUAGUCCACUGAUUUAAGCAGUAUAAAACGUUUUAUAAAAUUAAUUUUAAAAAUAUUAGAGCGAUGUCUAUGUAACAUGAAAGAUAGUUUAGCAUACAUAAUGUAUAAUGUGGUUAGAAAUUUUAUAAAAACUCUAAAGAGUAUAAACUUCAAUAUAUAGAGCACUUACCGAAAAAGUAAAUUUCGUAGGGAUAACCUUUAGAUUUUUGAUAAAAAAAAUAAAAAGAAAAAUCUUUCUUAAUGGAAUAGUUGCAUCCUAAAGUGACAUAGGAAGAUGGUUAAAAAGGGUUGGAAUCUUUAUUGUAUCUGUUUCUCUAGAAAAUAGAGAUUUUUUUGUUAGUCUACUGAUUUAGACAAUAUAUGAAGUUUUAUUAAAUUGACAGUUGAAAAAUUAAAGAUACUCAUGUACCAUGAGAUAGAUUUUAUAAUACAUUAAUAAAAAAUUAUAAUUUGGUUAAAAAAAAUUAAACAACACUAAACAGAGAAAAGUUCAUUAUAUAGAGCAUUUACCGAAAAUCAAAUUUUGUAUGGGUGUUAACCUUCAGAUUUUGAGAAAAUUUCAAAAAUAAUGACAAUCUUGUUUUAUUGCAUAAUUGCAUCAUGCAUCGACAUAGGAUGAUGGUCAAAAAAGUUUGAAAUAUUUUUUGUAUUCGUUUCUCUAGAGAAUAUAUAUUUAUAGUGGUUAGUCCAAUUAUUUAAGCAGUAUGUAGAUUUUUUAUAAAAUUAAUUGUUAAAAUUUAGAGCGAUUUUUAUGUACCAUGAAAGAAAUUUAACAUACAUUAUUAAAAAUGUAGAAUGUGGCUAGAAAAUUUUAA